rnacentral:rRNA from 1 species
CAACCGAGCGCAACCCCUACUCAUCUGUUGCCAGCGAUUUAAGGUGGGGACGUCAGAUGAGACUGCCGGUGACAAACCGGAGGAAGGUGGGGACGACGGUCAAGUCAUCAUGGCCCUUAUGUCCUGGGCUACACACGUGCUACAAUGGCCGGUACAGAGUGAAGCGAAACCGCGAGGUGAAGCAAAACGCAGAAAGCCGGUCUCAGUACGGAUUGGAGUCUGAAACUCGACUUCAUGAAGUUGGAAUCGCUAGUAAUCGCGCAUCAGCAUGGCGCGGUGAAUACGUUCCCGGGCCUU